rnacentral:rRNA from 1 species
CUACCAUGGCAGUCACGGGUAACGGAGAAUUAGGGUUCGAUUCCGGAGAAGGAGCCUGAGAAACGGCUACUACAACUACGGUUUGGCAGCAGGGAAGAAAAUUGGCCAAUCCUAAUUCAGGGAGCCAGUGACAAGGAAUAGCAAACCGGGGAACUUGUUUCUACGGUAUUGAAAUGAGAACAGUGUUAAUCUCUUAGCGAGAAACAAUUGGAGGGCAAGUCUGGUGCCAGCAGCCGCGGUAAUUCCAGCUCCAAUAGCGUAUAUUAAAGUUGUUGCAGUUAAAAAGCUCGUAGUUGAACUUCUGUCCAGGUUCGCCCUAGUUCGCUAAGGCAAUUCUGGACAUACGUCUGCAAGCUAAAAUCGGCCUUCACUGGUUCGACUUAGUAAGUAGACAUUUUACUGUGAAAAAAUUAGAGUGUUUCAGGCAGGUUUUAGCCCGUAUACAUUAGCAUGGAAUAAUGGAAUAGGACUAAGUCCAUUUUAUUGGUUAUUGGAUUUGGUAAUGAUUAAUAGGGACAGUUGGGGGCAUUAGUAUUUAAUAGUCGGAGGUGAAAUUCUUGGAUUUAUUAAGGACUAACUAAUGCGAAAGCAUUUGCCAAAGAUGUUUUCAUUAAUCAAGAACGAAAGUUAGGGGAUC